AACUGCGCCUCAGGCGGCGGCUGGCUCAACGCGGAAGUGUUCGCGAUGGACGGCACGGGCUCCGGGCGCCCGGCGUUGCAAUUUGCUCCCUUCAGUAGCGCUUUGGACGCAGGUUUCUGGCAUGAGCUCACUCAGAGGAAACUGAACGACUACAGACUGGACGAGAGUCCCCGAAAUAUCAGGGGCUAUUACUAUAACGGUGAUCCUGCUGGACUGCCAACUCGACUAACUUUGGAGUUCAGUGCAUUUGAUGUGAAUGCUGUGACGCCACCUCGGUGUUGCCCUGCUUUUGGCACUCUGUAUAAUACCAACACCUUGCAGUCAUUUAAAUCCACUGAUAAAAAGGCUUUGCUGGAGCAAGUGGGAAAAGAGAUUUGGGAUGCUAUAAAAUCUGGCAGAGCAAUUGAAGAUCCUUCUUUGCUGAACACUUUUCUCUUGCUGACUUUUGCAGAUUUAAAAAGAUACCAUUUCUACUACUGGUUCGCGUUUCCAGCACUGUGUUUCGUUGAAGGGAUACCCAUAUCCCAACAACCAGUCAGCUUGGCGGAAAAGUUCUCCACAUGUCAGAUCCAGGCAUUACAAGAUGCUUACAAUAAGCUUUGUCAAAAGGAGGAAGUUACAGCAGUUCCCUAUUUUCUGGUCAAGUACAAGGAAGAUUCUGUUUCGUUGGCCUCUUUGAGAAACUGGAAUGAAUUUUUCAAAGGUCAGACCAAGGUUACAAUUGGUGUCUAUGAUCCAUGUACAUUAAUGCAAUAUCCAGGGUGGCCUUUGAGAAACCUCCUGAUGCUUGUAGCCUACAACUGGGGCAGCUUUCUGGACACACUUGAAGUUCUCUGUUUCAGAGACCGAACUAUGCAAGGAGCCAGGGACACCCAGCACAGCAUCAUCUUUGAAGUAAAACUUCCACAGAUAGCGUCAGUCUCAGAUUGUCCAAAGUGUGUUGGUUGGGAGAAAAAUCAGAAAGGAAGCCUCGGUCCACGGAUGGUCAAUCUUAGUGAAUGUAUGGAUCCAAAGAGACUGGCUGAAUCAUCGGUUGAUCUCAAUCUUAAAUUAAUGCGUUGGCGUCUGGUACCAACCCUUGGCCUGGAAAAUGUUAUGACUACUCGGUGCUUGUUGCUUGGAGCUGGUACACUGGGCUGUAAUGUAGCACGGACUCUAAUGGGCUGGGGCGUAAGGCAGAUAACGUUUGUAGACAAUGCAAAGGUGUCCUAUUCUAACCCAGUGCGGCAGUCGUUGUAUGAGUUUGAAGAUUGUUUUGAUGGCGGGAAACCCAAAGCACUAGCUGCUGUAGAGAAACUCCAAAAAAUCUUCCCAGGCGUGAAAGUUGAAGGCUUUAACCUAAGCAUACCGAUGCCAGGUCACCCAGUGAAUUUUUCUGCAGUGACAACGCAACAGGCUCAGAAAGAUGUUGAACAGCUGGAGAAACUCAUUUGCUCACAUGAUGUCAUUUUCCUGCUAAUGGACACACGGGAGAGUCGCUGGCUCCCCACAGUCAUUGCAGCCAGUCAACGAAAGUUAGUCAUUAAUGCGGCUUUGGGUUUUGAUACUUUUGUCGUAAUGAGACACGGCUUGAAAAGGCCGAAGCAGGAAUCCGGAGAACCAGCUGCAGUCGCUGCUACUGUCAAUUCUUCCUUGGCAGGCUCUUCACUCUUUUCGAACAUUCCUGGCCACAAACUAGGCUGCUACUUCUGUAAUGACGUUGUAGCACCUGGAGAUUCAACUAGAGACCGUACUCUAGACCAGCAGUGCACUGUGAGUCGUCCUGGUUUAGCCAUGAUCGCUGGAGCACUGGCAGUGGAAUUGAUGGUUUCUAUACUGCAACAUGCUGAAGGUGGAUAUGCAGUAGCCAGCAGCAGUGAUGACCGGCUGAAUGAGCCUCCGACAUCCCUUGGACUUGUCCCUCAUCAGAUCCGUGGCUUUUUGUCAAGAUUUGACAAUGUCCUACCAGCAAGUUUAGCAUUUGACAAGUGCACAGCAUGUUCACCAGUGGUCCUUGAUCACUUUGAAAAAGAAGGUUUCCAGUUCCUUGCAAAUGUAUUCAACUCAUCUCAUUCUUUCCUGGAAGAUCUUACAGGACUGACUCUUCUCCAUCAAGAGACACAGGCUGCUGAGGUAUAACUCCAAACCGGGGAGUGUUUCCUUUUGAUUCCCAUGGACUGUAGUUUUGGUACAUUUCCUUGAAUCUGAAAAAAGCUGUGAAAAAGGUGACCGCAGAGAUGGAGGAUAUAUUGGCUGUCGCAAUAGAGCAACCACACGACAUCUACCUACAAUGUGGAAAAUUGUUCAGAUAUGGGAUAUGAGUGAUGAUGAAAGUUUCUGAAGAACAGUCUGUAACCUGAAAGGAAGAUGCAAAUUGAAGAACCUAUCCAAGACCUCUUUCCAGCUUUUCAGAAUCCUGAAGUGCAAAAACAGCUGCCCUGAGCAGGUCACAGAUUCUUUGUGAUUUUCAUUAUGGCAUUCAGCCUAAUUGAGAAGCAUUGUGUCUUUAAAUAAAUAUUAUCUCCUAAUGUCUUUUUGGAGUCAAAAACAUGCAAAUGUUCCUGGCCCUUUCAUCCAGAUCACAGUUCUGGUGUUUAUGAUGUUAGCAUUAAUGAUAACAGCAAUAAUCCAAAAGUCUCUAAACCGAAUACAUGUGUUCGGUUAUGUAUAUAUAAUUACAUAUCAGUCUGAGUAAGAAUGUUUCAUAUAAAACACAUUGCUCAAACACAAAACAUUUUAUUGAAGUUGUUUCUCUUUUUAGGGGUCCACUAUCUCCAAUCAUUUUUGACUCUAGCUUCCUAAAAGUGUUAUUUUAAAAUCAGUUUCAGUAUAGACGAGUUUAUAUGCUAUGAACUUUAAAUAUGAAAUUUAUCAUUUGAGCUACUGACUCCACUUCCAUUUAAAAUGUUCCUUUGUACUGAACUGAAGUCUGUUUCCUGUCCGCCUGUUCAUUGUGUAUCUGAAGCAUCUGUAUCGUGUACAUGCUGCUGUAAUCUGCUUGCAACACUUGCUACCUUUGACACAAUUAAAAAUGAUUUAACUGA